rnacentral:rRNA from 1 species
UACUUAGGGUGCGAGCGUUAAUCGGAAUUACUGGGCGUAAAGCGUGCGCAGGCGGCUUUGCAAGACAGAUGUGAAAUCCCCGGGCUUAACCUGGGAACUGCAUUUGUGACUGCAUGGCUGGAGUGCGGCAGAGGGGGAUGGAAUUCCGCGUGUAGCAGUGAAAUGCGUAGAUAUGCGGAGGAACACCGAUGGCGAAGGCAAUCCCCUGGGCCUGUACUGACGCUCAUGCACGAAAGCGUGGGGAGCAAACAGG